GGGUUGUGAGGUUAAGCGACUAAGCGUACACGGUGGAUGCCCCGCAGUCAGAGGCGAUGAAGGACGUGCUAAUCUGCGAAAAGCGUCGGUAAGGUGAUAUGAACCGUUAUAACCGGCGAUGUCCGAAUGGGGAAACCCAGUGCAAUUCGUUGCACUAUCGUUAACUGAAUACAUAGGUUAACGAGGCGAACCGGGGAACUGAAACAUCUAAGUACCCCGAGGAAAAGAAAUCAACCGAGAUUCCCCCAGUAGCGGCGAGCGAACGGGGAGCAGCCCAGAGUCUGAAUCAGCUUGUGUGUUAGUGGAACGGUCUGGAAAGUCCGACGGUACAGGGUGAUAGUCCCGUACACCAAAAUGCACAGGCUGUGAACUCGAAGAGUAGGGCGGGACACGUGGUAUCCUGUCUGAAUAUGGGGGGACCAUCCUCCAAGGCUAAAUACUCCUGACUGACCGAUAGUGAACCAGUACCGUGAGGGAAAGGCGAAAAGAACCCCGGCGAGGGAGUGAAAAGAACCUGAAACCGUGUACGUACAAGCAGUGGGAGCACCUUCGGGUGUGACUGCGUACCUUUUGUAUAAUGGGUCAGCGACUUAUAUUCUGUAGCAAGGUUAACCGUAUAGGGGAGCCGCAGGGAAACCGAGUCUUAACUGGGCGUUAAGUUGCAGGGUAUAGACCCGAAACCCGGUGAUCAGCCAUGGGCAGGUUGAAGGUUGGGUAACACUAACUGGAGGACCGAACCGACUAAUGUUGAAAAAUUAGCGGAUGACUUGUGGCUGGGGGUGAAAGGCCAAUCAAACCGGGAGAUAGCUGGUUCUCCCCGAAAGCUAUUUAGGUAGCGCCUCGUGAAUUCAUCUUCGGGGGUAGAGCACUGUUUCGGCUAGGGGGUCAUCCCGACUUACCAACCCGAUGCAAACUACGAAUACCGAAGAAUGUUAUCACGGGAGACACACGGCGGGUGCUAACGUCCGUCGUGAAGAGGGAAACAACCCAGACCGCCAGCUAAGGUCCCAAAGUCAUGGUUAAGUGGGAAACGAUGUGGGAAGGCACAGACAGCCAGGAUGUUGGCUUAGAAGCAGCCAUCAUUUAAAGAAAGCGUAAUAGCUCACUGGUCGAGUCGGCCUGCGCGGAAGAUGUAACGGGGCUAAACCAUGCACCGAAGCUGCGGCAGCGACACUAUGUGUUGUUGGGUAGGGAGCGUUCUGUAAGCCUGCGAAGGUGACCUGUGAGGGUUGCUGGAGGUAUCAGAAGUGCGAAUGCUGACAUAAGUAACGAUAAAGCGGGUGAAAAGCCCGCUCGCCGGAAGACCAAGGGUUCCUGUCCAACGUUAAUCGGGGCAGGGUGAGUCGACCCCUAAGGCGAGGCCGAAAGGCGUAGUCGAUGGGAAACAGGUUAAUAUUCCUGUACUUGGUGUUACUGCGAAGGGGGGACGGAGAAGGCUAUGUUAGCCGGGCGACGGUUGUCCCGGUUUAAGCAUGUAGGCUGGUUAUCCAGCAAAUCCGGAUAAUCAAGGCUGAGGUGUGAUGACGAGGCACUACGGUGCUGAAGUAACAAAUGCCCUGCUUCCGUGAAAAGCCUCUAAGCAUCAGGUAACAUCAAAUCGUACCCCAAACCGACACAGGUGGUCAGGUAGAGAAUACCAAGGCGCUUGAGAGAACUCGGGUGAAGGAACUAGGCAAAAUGGUGCCGUAACUUCGGGAGAAGGCACGCUGGUGUGUAGGUGAAGUCCCUGCGGAUGGAGCUGAGACCAGUCGAAGAUACCAGCUGGCUGCAACUGUUUAUUAAAACACAGCACUGUGCAAACACGAAAGUGGACGUAUACGGUGUGACGCCUGCCCGGUGCCGGAAGGUUAAUUGAUGGGGUUAUCCGUAAGGAGAAGCUCUUGAUCGAAGCCCCGGUAAACGGCGGCCGUAACUAUAACGGUCCUAAGGUAGCGAAAUUCCUUGUCGGGUAAGUUCCGACCUGCACGAAUGGCGUAAUGAUGGCGGGCUGUCUCCACCCGAGACUCAGUGAAAUUGAACUCGCUGUGAAGAUGCAGUGUACCCGCGGCAAGACGGAAAGACCCCGUGAACCUUUACUAUAGCUUGACACUGAACAUUGAGCCUUGAUGUGUAGGAUAGGUGGGAGGCUUUGAAGCGUGGACGCCAGUCUGCGUGGAGCCAACCUUGAAAUACCACCCUUUAAUGUUUGAUGUUCUAACGUUGGCCCUUACCGGGGUUGCGGACAGUGUCUGGUGGGUAGUUUGACUGGGGCGGUCUCCUCCCAAAGCGUAACGGAGGAGCACGAAGGUUAGCUAAUCUGGUCGGACAUCAGGAGGUUAGUGCAAUGGCAUAAGCUAGCUUGACUGCGAGCGUGACGGCGCGAGCAGGUGCGAAAGCAGGUCAUAGUGAUCCGGUGGUUCUGAAUGGAAGGGCCAUCGCUCAACGGAUAAAAGGUACUCCGGGGAUAACAGGCUGAUACCGCCCAAGAGUUCAUAUCGACGGCGGUGUUUGGCACCUCGAUGUCGGCUCAUCACAUCCCGGGCUGAAGUAGGUCCCAAGGGUAUGGCUGUUCGCCAUUUAAAGUGGUACGCGAGCUGGGUUUAGAACGUCGUGAGACAGUUCGGUCCCUAUCUGCCGUGGGCGCUGGAGAAUUGAGGGGGGCUGCUCCUAGUACGAGAGGACCGGAGUGGACGCAUCACUGGUGUUCGGGUUGUCAUGCCAAUGGCACUGCCCGGUAGCUAAAUGCGGAAGAGAUAAGUGCUGAAAGCAUCUAAGCACGAAACUUGCCCCGAGAUGAGUUCUCCCUGAGACUUUAAGUCUCCUGAAGGAACGUUGAAGACGACGACGUUGAUAGGCCGGGUGUGUAAGCGCAGCGAUGCGUUGAGCUAACCGGUACUAAUGAACCGUGAGGCUUAACCUUACAACGCCGAAG
rnacentral:rRNA from 1 species